AUGAUAAUUUUGCAUGACCACCACUGAAUGUGCAGUUCCUUGAUUGACCUGUCCUGAUGCAGUGCCUGACUGUAGUUCUGCAGCUCCACUGAAGAAGAGGCACUGAGGACUAGAGGCAGCCAGGGGAUUGCAACUCAAAGAGGUUUUCUAGAACCAGUUACUUCCAAAUUAUGUUCAAUUAGGCAACAGAACUAAAGAAUAUGCCUCUGAUCUACUUAUUUCUCAGCCUGAAUGCUGACUUCAUAGACUUUCAAAACAAAGUAAUAGGUGAGGAGCAAAGGAAGUAGUUCUGCUGACGGUUCAGGACCUGCUGUGUGGGUAGGGUGGUUCACUAGUCAUCCUGAAAGGUUUUUGAAGUGAUCGUAUCACCAUGAGAAAAAAAUCCUCACUCUUGAGCUUGAUUAAUGUGAUGAGAAGUGCAUCGCAGGGUAACGAAUGCUGUGUUAUUAGCCACCAAAUGCUCCACACGAUGCUGCAGUCUUUCAGAAGCAAAGGGCACAUUGAAAUAAAAUCACACUAAAAGUGU
ensembl:lncRNA LINC01796 long intergenic non-protein coding RNA 1796